GUCUUUGGCCAUACCACACUGAAUGCACCCAGUGUGGAAGCUAGGCAGGGUUGGGCCUGGUUAGUACCUGGAUGGGAGACCUCCUAUGAAUACCAGGUACUAAUCUGU
rfam:Mesocricetus auratus contig138662, whole genome shotgun sequence.